UUAUCAUAUAAGAUGUCACAAUAGUAACAUGUAAGGAAUAUUACAACCCAAACGAAUCCAUGCUGGAAUUAGUUUUUGCGCCUGCAGAAGAAUGGAUUUCACGCAGUGAUGCUGAUAUUAUUGAUGCUACAAUGAAGGAACUCGCAAAACUCUUUCCUGA